rnacentral:rRNA from 1 species
AGUGAACGCUGGCGGUAGGCCUAACACAUGCCAGUCGAACGGCAGCACAGUAAGAGCUUGCUCUUACGGGUGGCGAGUGGCGGACGGGUGAGGAAUACAUCGGAAUCUACUUUUUCGUGGGGGAUAACGUAGGGAAACUUACGCUAAUACCGCAUACGACCUACGGGUGAAAGAAGGGGAUCUUCGGACCUUGCGCGAUUGAAUGAGCCGAUGUCGGAUUAGCUAGUUGGGGGGGUAAAGGCCCACCAAGGCGACGAUCCGUAGCUGGUCUGAGAGGAUGAUCAGCCACACUGGAACUGAGACACGGUCCAGACUCCUACGGGAGGCAGCAGUGGGGAAUAUUGGACAAUGGGCGCAAGCCUGAUCCAGCCAUACCGCGUGGGUGAAGAAGGCCUUCGGGUUGUAAAGCCCUUUUGUUGGGAAAGAAAAGCAGCAGGUUAAUACCCCGCUGUUCUGACGGUACCCAAAGAAUAAGCACCGGCUAACUUCGUG